GUCGCCGCGAGGCGGGGUCUGAAAGAAGCGUGGAGCAAACGUGCGAGCCGAUGAACAAAAACCGGAUACGAGGCGUGAGCGUCGGACGAGCGGGCAAAUGACCGCGAAGUCCACAUCCAUCAAAGGCGCGGAGCGUAAAUUCGGCGGUUGCGCACAGAAGGCGGUCGGU
rfam:Elusimicrobia bacterium CG1_02_63_36 cg1_0.2_scaffold_16867_c, whole genome shotgun sequence.